CGCAGUGUCACCGCUGCCAGGCCUUCGGU
rnacentral:sRNA from 1 species